rnacentral:misc_RNA from 1 species
AUACCAAUCUAGCCUGGCUAGGUGUUGGGCGCCGCCGCCUGGCGGGCCUUAAAACUAGUGGCGGUGCUCUCAAGCUCUACGCGUAGUAAUCUUCUCGCUACAGGGUCUUAGGAGAUGCUAGCCAGCAAUCCCAAAUUUUUCUA